rnacentral:rRNA from 1 species
CCUACGUGCGGCAGCAGUGAGGAAUAUUGGUCAAUGGCCGAGAGGCUGAACCAGCCAAGUCGCGUGAGGGAAGACGGCCCUACGGGUUGUAAACCUCUUUUGUCGGGGAGCAAAGCGAACCACGUGUGUUUCCUUGAUUGUACCCGAAGAAACAGCAUCGGCUAACUCCGGGCCAGCCGCCGCGGUACUACGGAGGAUGCGAGCGUUAUCCGGAUUUAUUGGGUUUAAAGGGUGCGCAGGCGGAGGUGCAAGUCAGCGGUCAAAUUGCGGGGCUCAACCCCGUACUGCCGUUGAAACUGCAGCACUUGAGUGCGCGAGAGGGAUGCGGAAUGCGAGGUGUAGCGGUGAAAUGCAUAGAUAUCACGCAGAACUCCGAUUGCGAAGGCAGCAUACCGGCGCGCAACUGACGCUCAUGCACGAAAGCGUGGGUAUCGAACAGGAUUAGAUACCCUAGUAGUC